rnacentral:rRNA from 1 species
UACAGAGGUCUCAAGCGUUGUUCGGAUUCAUUGGGCGUAAAGGGCGCGUAGGCGGCGGGGGUCAGUCGGGUGUGAAAAUCUUGGGGCUUAACCCCGAAACGGCACUCGAAACUGCCCGGCUGGAGGGCCGGAGAGGAGAUCGGAAUUCACGGUGUAGCAGUGAAAUGCGUAGAGAUCGUGAGGAAGACCCGUGGCGAAGGCGGAUCUCUGGACGGCUAACUGACGCUGAGGCGCGAAGGCCAGGGGAGCAAACGGG